GUAAUACGGAGGAUGCGAGCGUUAUCCGGAUUUAUUGGGUUUAAAGGGAGCGUAGGUGGGAUAUUAAGUCAGCUGUGAAAGUUUGGGGCUCAACCUUAAAAUUGCAGUUGAUACUGGUUUCCUUGAGUACGGUACAGGUGGGCGGAAUUCGUGGUGUAGCGGUGAAAUGCUUAGAUAUCACGAAGAACUCCGAUCGCGAAGGCAGCUCACCGGGCCGGAACUGACGCUGAUGCUCGAAAGUGCGGGUAUCAAACAGGAUUAGAUACCCUGGUAGUCCGCACAGUAAACGAUGAAUACUCGCUGUUUGCGAUACACGGUAAGCGGCCAAGCGAAAGCGUUAAGUAUUCCACCUGGGGAGUACGCCGGCAACGGUGAAACUCAAAGGAAUUGACGGGG
rnacentral:rRNA from 1 species